AAACCAACAGGGAUUACCUCAGUAACGGCGAGUGAAGCGGUAACAGCUCAAAUUUGAAAUCUGGGUCUUUCAGGCUCCGAGUUGUAAUUUGUAGAAGAUGCUUCGGGUGCGGCUCCGGUCUAAGUUCCUUGGAACAGGACGUCAUAGAGGGUGAGAAUCCCGUAUGUGAUCGGUUGCUUGCGCCCAUGUGAAGCUCUUUCGACGAGUCGAGUUGUUUGGGAAUGCAGCUCAAAAUGGGUGGUAAAUUUCAUCUAAAGCUAAAUAUUGGCCAGAGACCGAUAGCGCACAAGUAGAGUGAUCGAAAGAUGAAAAGCACUUUGGAAAGAGAGUUAAACAGUACGUGAAAUUGUUGAAAGGGAAGCGCUUGCAACCAGACUUGCGCGUUGCCGAUCAUCCGGGGUUCUCCCCGGUGCACUCGGCCUCGCUCAGGCCAGCAUCGGUUUUGGUGGUGGGAUAAAGGCCUUGGGAAUGUAGCUCCUUUCGGGGAGUGUUAUAGCCCUCGGUGCAAUGCCGCCUACCGGGACCGAGGACCGCGCUCGGCUAGGA
rnacentral:rRNA from 1 species